GGAACUCAUGAACUCAACAGAUUGUCCCACCUCAGCCUCUCAAAGUGCUGGGAUUACAGAUGGAGUCUUGUUGUCUCCCAGGCUGCUGGAGUGCAAUGGUGCAAUCUCGGCUCACUGCAACCUCUGCCUCCUGGAUUCAAGCGAUUCUCCUGCCUCAGCCUCCCAAGUAGCUGGAAUUACAGCUCAAAGCACCUGUCAUAAAAAUAUUAACUUGUAAUAAAAGUGUUUAGUAACACUAAUAUGUGAUGGCAAUUUCAGGAAAGUCAAUGUUCUGAGCAAGAAGAACAAGGAACAGAAGGUAUAAUGAUAACAGAUGAGAGAGGAAAAAGCAGACUCAAUCAACUCCUACUUUUCCAUCAUUUUUCCGUUACAGAGAAUUAUCCUCAAAUUAGAAGGAGUAGGACCUACAUGGUAAAGAAAAAAUUUACGUGCAAGGCAGAUGAGGAAGUAAGAGAGCAUCCAGCCCCUUCACACAACUUCAUUCUCUGUCUUACCGAAAGAAUGUGAAAUGUGGUGGUAGCUUUACUGGGGACAGGAGAGGUGCCAGAAGUUUGAAGAUGGACUAAUCUCCUUGUUUUCUAAAAGAAGAACCUAUAAGUCUCUGAGCACAUUUUUCUUUGGCAAAAUU
rnacentral:lncRNA from 10 species